rnacentral:rRNA from 1 species
CCUACGGGAGGCAGCAGUGAGGAAUAUUGGUCAAUGGGCGGAAGCCUGAACCAGCCAAGUAGCGUGAGGGAUGAAUGCCCUACGGGUCGUAAACCUCUUUUGUACGGGAAUAAAGCCCUGCACGUGUACUGGUCUGCAUGUACCGUACGAAUAAGGAUCGGCUAAUUCCGUGCCAGCAGCCGCGGUAAUACGGAGGAUCCGAGCGUUAUCCGGAUUUAUUGGGUUUAAAGGGAGCUUAGGCGGGCGGUUACGUCAGCGGUAAAAUCUGGCGGCUCAACCGCGACCGGCAGUUGAUACUGGCAUCCUUGAGUUCACAAGAGGUAGGCGGAAUUCGUGGUGUAGCGGUGAAAUGCAUAGAUAUCACGAAGAACCCCGAUUGCGAAGGCAGCCUGCUGGCGUGCAACUGACGCUGAGGCUCGAAGGUGCGGGUAUCAAACAGGAUUAGAUACCCCGGUAGUC